rnacentral:rRNA from 1 species
AUUGAACGCUGGCGGCAUGCUUUACACAUGCCAGUCGGACGAGUGGCGAACGGGUGAGUCACAUAUCGGAACGUACCGAUUAAUGGGGGAUACCUAAUCGAAAGAUUAGCUAAUCCCGCAUAUUAUUCCAGCGGCCGAUAUCUGAUUAGCUGGUUGGUGGGGUAAAGGCCUACGAGGGCGACGAUCAGUAGCGGGUCUAAGAGGAUGAUUCGCAACACGGGGACGGAGUCACGGCCCAGACUCCUACGGGAGGCAGCAGAGGGGAAUUGUGGACAAUGGGCGCAAGCCUGAUCCAGCCAGGCCGCGUGUCUGAAGAAGGCCUUCGGGUUGUAAAGGACUUUUGUCAGGGAAGCGGUACCUGAAGAAUAAGCACCGGCUAACUACGUGCCAGCAGCCGCGGUAAUAC